rnacentral:rRNA from 1 species
UGUGGUUGAUCGUGCCAGUGGCAUAUGUGUGUCUCAAGAAUCAAUCCAUGAACGUGUAAGUACACAUGGCUGGCACAGUGAAACUGUGAAUGACCGCUCAAAUUAGUAAUGGUUCCUUAGUGCACUCCAUCUGUUAAUUGGAUAACUAAGGUAAUUGCAUAGACAAUACAUGCCGAUGAGCGCUGACUUCUUGGUGUGCAUGCAUUAAUCAGACCAAGACCAACCAGGGCUUGCCUGGCUGCUAUGGUGACUCGAGACAGCCUGCGGUGAUUGCACAUCUCUGUGAUGGUGACGAUGCAGUUGGAUGUCUGCCCUAUCAACUUUCAAUUGUAGUGUUUGUCCCUACCAUGUUGACCAUGGGUAAUGGGGAAUCAUGGUUCAAUACUGUAGAGGGAGCCUGAGAAAUGGCUACCACAUUCAAAGAAGUCAGCAGGUGCAUACAUUACCCCCUCCUGACUCAUGAGAUAUUGAUGAUAAAUACCACAAUACAGGAGUCCUACGAGGCCCAGCAAUUCAAAUGAGUGCACUUUAAAUCCAUUAAUAAGGAUUCAUCAAAGGGCCAGUCUGGUGCCAGAAUCUGACCAUAAUUCCAGCUGAAAUAGCGUGUCUGAAAGUUGCUGCAGUUACAAAUGCAUGCAAUUGGAUUUAGGAUCAAGCUGGCGGUCUGCUGCGAAGUGAGCAAUUGUUUGUCCAAUCCCUGCAUCUCUGCACCCCCUUAAUGUACUUGACUGAGUGUCCUGGGGGUCCAAAGCAUUUAGUUAGACUAAACGGACUGUUCAAAGCAGGCCUGUUGCCUGAAUACCGCAGCCAGGAUUAAUUGAAUAUGACUCUGCUUCAAUUGUGUUGUUUAGUGGAACUGUGUCCAUGAUAAAGAGGGACAACUGGGUGCCUUCGUAAAGUGCUGCUAGAGUUGUAACUCUUGGAAUGGGGCAAGAGGAUCCAAAGUGAAAGCAUUUGCCAAGAAUGACUUCAUCAAUCCAGAAUGAAAAUCUGCGUUUUGAAGAUGAUCAGAUACCAUCAUGGAACCGACCAAAAAUCAUGCUGACUUGCUAUCCUGUGGCGUUAUUCCAUUGCCCAUUGAGUAGCUUCUGGGAAAACAUGGACUUUGGUUCUGUGAUGAGUAUGUUUGCAAUGCAAAGGAAUUGAUGGAUGGAAUGACACCACCAGGAGUAGCGCCUGUGCUUGAAUUGACUCAACAUGGGAAACCUCAAUUGGCCUGGACACAGAAAGGAUUGUCAGAUUGAUGGGUCCAUUUCCAUUCUGUGAGUGUAGGUGCAUGGCCGUUCUUUGUUAGCGAGAGCAAUUUGUGUGGAGAAUUCUGAUAAUGAACGAGACUCCACCAUGCCAACUCGUCAUGCAACCCUCAGUGGUUGGCAUUCAACUUCUUAGAGGUACAAGUGGCGUUCAGUCACACGAGAUGAAGCAAGAACAGGUCUGUGGUGCCCUUAAUGUCUGUGGAUGCAUGUGCGCCACACUGAAUGGAUCACUGUGUGGCUACCCUUUGUCGACACAUGCAGAUAACCUGCUGAAGCCUGUGUGUGAUCACAAUUGGGAAAAGCAAUCUAUUCGCAUAAAUGAGAAUUCCCUGCAGGUGCGGGUUAUACUCUUGCGUUGGUGAAGUUCAUGCACUUCGACACAGCUGCCUGUUUCCACUACCAAUUUGAUGGUUCAGUGAUGUUCUCAGAUUGGACCACGCUGGGGUCGGCAGUGUCGCUCGUGGUGCACAGAGAAUAUGAUCAAACACGACAAUAUAGCGGAGUGUAAUCAUAACAAGGUUCAAGGUUCCUGUAGGUGAACCCGCAGAAG